rnacentral:rRNA from 1 species
AACACGGAUUAGAUACCCUGGUAGUCCAUGCCGUAAACGAUGUCGACUUGGAGGUUGUUUCCAAGAGAAGUGACUUCCGAAGCUAACGCAUUAAGUCGACCGCCUGGGGAGUACGGCCGCAAGGCUAAAACUCAAAUGAAUUGACGGGGGCCCGCACAAGCGGUGGAGCAUGUGGUUUAAUUCGAUGCAACGCGAAAAACCUUACCUGGUCUUGACAUCCACAGAAUUCUUUAGAAAUAAAGAAGUGCCUUCGGGAACUGUGAGACAGGUGCUGCAUGGCUGUCGUCAGCUCGUGUUGUGAAAUGUUGGGUUAAGUCCCGCAACGAGCGCAACCCUUAUCCCCUGUUGCCAUCGGUUCGGCCGGGAACUCAGAGGAGACUGCCGGUUAUAAACCGGAGGAAGGUGGGGACGACGUCAAGUCAUCAUGGCCCUUACGACCAGGGCUACACACGUGCUACAAUGGUUUAUACAAAGAGAAGCAAAUCUGCAAAGACAAGCAAACCUCAUAAAGUAAAUCGUAGUCCGGACUGGAGUCUGCAACUCGACUCCACGAAGUCGGAAUCGCUAGUAAUCGUGGAUCAGAAUGCCACGGUGAAUACGUUCCCGGGCCUUGUACACACCGCCCGUCACACCAUGGGAGUGGGUUGCAAAAGAAGCAGUUAGCCUAACCCAUUAAGGGGAGGCGUCUACCACUUUGUGAUUCAUGACUGGGGUGAAGUCGUAACAAGGUAGCCGUAA